rnacentral:rRNA from 1 species
UACGGGGGGGGCAAGCGUUAUCCGGAAUUAUUGGGCGUAAAGCGUCCGUAGGUGGCUCUUCAAGUCUGCUGUCAAAGACUGGGGCUUAACCCUGGAAAGGCGGUGGAAACUGAAGCGCUAGAGUGCGGUAGGGGUAGAGGGAAUUCCCGGUGUAGCGGUGAAAUGCGUAGAGAUCGGGAAGAACAUCGGUGGCGAAAGCGCUCUACUGGACCGCAACUGACACUCAGGGACGAAAGCUAGGGGAGCGAAUGGG